rnacentral:rRNA from 1 species
GCUCCGCUGCCCUUCAGGUAGACGGCGGGGUGACGGCCCACCGUGCCGACAUCGGGUAGCCGGGUUGAGAGACCGACCGGCCCGAUUGGGAGUGAGACACGGCCCAGAUUCUUCCGGGAGGCAGCAGUGGGGAAUCUUGCGCAAUGGGGGGAACCCUGACGCAGCGACGCCGCGUGCGGGACGGAGGCCUUCGGGUCGUAAACCGCUUUCAGCAGGGAAGAGUCAAGACUGUACCUGCAGAAGAAGCCCCGGCUAACUACGUGCCAGCAGCCGCGGUAAUACGUAGGGGGCGAGCGUUAUCCGGAUUCAUUGGGCGUAAAGCGCGCGUAGGCGGCCCGGCAGGCCGGGGGUCGAAGCGGGGGGCUCAACCCCCCGAAGCCCCCGGAACCUCCGCGGCUUGGGUCCGGUAGGGGAGGGUGGAACACCCGGUGUAGCGGUGGAAUGCGCAGAUAUCGGGUGGAACACCGGUGGCGAAGGCGGCCCUCUGGGCCGAGACCGACGCUGAGGCGCGAAAGCUGGGGGAGCGAACAGGAUUAGAUACCCUGGUAGUCCCAGCCGUAAACGAUGGACGCUAGGUGUGGGGGGACGAUCCCCCCGUGCCGCAGCCAACGCAUUAAGCGUCCCGCCUGGGGAGUACGGCCGCAAGGCUAAAACUCAAAGGAAUUGACGGGGGCCCGCACAAGCAGCGGAGCAUGUGGCUUAAUUCGAAGCAACGCGAAGAACCUUACCAGGGCUUGACAUAUGGGUGAAGCGGGGGAGACCCCGUGGCCGAGAGGAGCCCAUACAGGUGGUGCAUGGCUGUCGUCAGCUCGUGUCGUGAGAUGUUGGGUUAAGUCCCGCAACGAGCGCAACCCCCGCCGCGUGUUGCCAUCGGGUGAUGCCGGGAACCCACGCGGGACCGCCGCCGUCAAGGCGGAGGAGGGCGGGGACGACGUCAAGUCAUCAUGCCCCUUAUGCCCUGGGCUGCACACGUGCUACAAUGGCCGGUACAGAGGGAUGCCACCCCGCGAGGGGGAGCGGAUCCCGGAAAGCCGGCCCCAGUUCGGAUUGGGGGCUGCAACCCGCCCCCAUGAAGUCGGAGUUGCUAGUAAUCGCGGAUCAGCAUGCCGCGGUGAAUGCGUUCCCGGGCCUUGCACACACCGCCCGUCA